rnacentral:rRNA from 1 species
GGCCAGACUCCUACGGGAGGCAGCAGUGGGGAAUAUUGCACAAUGGGCGCAAGCCUGAUGCAGCCAUGCCGCGUGUAUGAAGAAGGCCUUCGGGUUGUAAAGUACUUUCAGCGGGGAGGAAGGUGUUGAGGUUAAUAACCUCAGCAAUUGACGUUACCCGCAGAAGAAGCACCGGCUAACUCCGUGCCAGCAGCCGCGGUAAUACGGAGGGUGCAAGCGUUAAUCGGAAUUACUGGGCGUAAAGCGCACGCAGGCGGUCUGUCAAGGCGGAUGUGAAAUCCCCGGGCUCAACCUGGGAACUGCAUUCGGAACUGGCAGGCUGGAGUCUUGUAGAGGGGGGUAGAAUUCCAGGUGGAGCGGUGAAAUGCGUAGAGAUCUGGAGGAAUACCGGUGGCGAAGGCGGCCCCCUGGACAAAGACUGACGCUCAGGUGCGAAAGCGUGGGGAGCAAACAGGAUUAGAUACCCCGGUAGG